UGGCGGCGUGCCUAAUACAUGCAAGUCGAACGAACUUCCGUUAAUUGAUUAUGACGUACUUGUACUGAUUGAGAUUUUAACACGAAGUGAGUGGCGAACGGGUGAGUAACACGUGGGUAACCUGCCCAGAAGUAGGGGAUAACACCUGGAAACAGAUGCUAAUACCGUAUAACAGAGAAAACCGCAUGGUUUUCUUUUAAAAGAUGGCUCUGCUAUCACUUCUGGAUGGACCCGCGGCGUAUUAGCUAGUUGGUGAGGUAAAGGCUCACCAAGGCAGUGAUACGUAGCCGACCUGAGAGGGUAAUCGGCCACAUUGGGACUGAGACACGGCCCAGACUCCUACGGGAGGCAGCAGUAGGGAAUCUUCCACAAUGGACGCAAGUCUGAUGGAGCAACGCCGCGUGAGUGAAGAAGGGUUUCGGCUCGUAAAGCUCUGUUGUUAAAGAAGAACGUGGGUAAGAGUAACUGUUUACCCAGUGACGGUAUUUAACCAGAAAGCCACGGCUAACUACGUGCCAGCAGCCGCGGUAAUACGUAGGUGGCAAGCGUUAUCCGGAUUUAUUGGGCGUAAAGCGAGCGCAGGCGGUCUUUUAAGUCUAAUGUGAAAGCCUUCGGCUCAACCGAAGAAGUGCAUUGGAAACUGGGAGACUUGAGUGCANAANANGACAGUGGAACUCCAUGUGUAGCGGUGAAAUGCGUANAUAUAUGGAAGAACACCAGUGGCGAAGGCGGCUGUCUGGUCUGCAACUGACNCUGANGCUCGAAGCAUGGGUAGCGAACAGGAUUAAAUACCUGGUAGUCNUGCGUAACGAUGAUUCUAAUGUUGGAGGNUUCCGCCUNCAUGCUGCACUAACCAUAAGUAUCCCCUGGGAUCCACNCAGGUGAACUCAAAAAUGCGGGCCCCNANCGNGACUGGNUUAUCNACUCNNAAACUACGGCUGNUUNUGAACUAAAUAAGUCCUCGGAAANANGGGCAGUUCCCCNCGCNGAUNGUANCCNCNCNCUUUUUUCCUUUUGCCU
rnacentral:rRNA from 1 species